rnacentral:RNase_P_RNA from 1 species
CCAGUUGGCCGGGCAGCCGCGCUUUACCAAUGUCGAAAGACGGUAGGGUGAGGAAAGUCCGGGCUCCACGGAAACACGGUGCCGGAUAACGUCCGGCGAGGGCGACCUCAGGGAAAGUGCCACAGAAAGCAAACCGCCUGCUUCGGCAGGUAAGGGUGAAAGGGUGGGGUAAGAGCCCACCGCGUCUCCGGCAACGGCGAUGGCAAGGUAAACCCCACCGGGAGCAAGACCGAAUAGGGAUGACGCGGGCGGCGCAAGCCGUCCGGCUGGUUUCCAGGCCAGUCAUCCGGGUGGGUUGCGAGAGGCAACGUGCAAACGUUGUCCCAGAGGAAUGGCUGCCACGUUCCGGUUUCGGCCGGAGCCAUACAGAACCCGGCUUACAGGCCAACUGGCGAU